rnacentral:RNase_P_RNA from 1 species
ACAGAGGUCCGGCUCGUCGCGGGGAGUGUGCCACUUCAGUGUGGCGCCGCCUGAGGAAAGUCCGGGCAACGCAGAGCACCACACUCUUUAACCGGGAGCUAUCGGCGACGGUAGAGCAGCGUGACAGAGAAUAACCGCCACGGUCGUUUCGGCCGGGGUAAGGGUGAAAAGGUGGGGUAAGAGCCCACCGGGCGCCGCAGCGAUGUGGCGUGCCGCACGUCUUGUGGGUUGCAAGGUCAAGUAUACCGGCAUUCAAGGGUUGCUCGCCCAUUGCCGGGGGGUAGACUGCUACGGACCGCGCACCCGUGCGCGGCCAAGAUAAAUGACGAGCCGUCAUUAAGGCACGGGCGUGAGCCUGACCUGCGAUGACGACAUAACCCGGCUUACAGGACCUCUGUCUUU